UACGUAGGGUGCGAGCGUUGCCCGGAUUUAUUGGGCGUAAAGGGCGCGUAGGCGGCCACGCACGUCCGUUGUGAAAUCGCCCGGCUCAACCGGGCGGGGUCAGCGGAUACGGUGUGGCUCGAGCAAGCUAGGGGGCAAUGGAAUUCCCGGUGUAGUGGUGGAAUGCGUAGAUAUCGGGAGGAACACCAGUGGCGAAGGCGGUUGCCUGGAGCUUUGCUAACGCUGAGGCGCGAAAGCGUGGGGAGCGAUCCGG
rnacentral:rRNA from 1 species